CACGUAGGGUGCGAGCGUUGUCCGGAUUUAUUGGGCGUAAAGCGCGUGUAGGCGGCCAGAUAGGUCUGCUGUGAAAACUCGAGGCUCAACCUCGAGCUGUCGGCGGAAACCAUCUGGCUAGAGUCCGGAAGAGGAGAGUGGAAUUCCUGGUGUAGCGGUGAAAUGCGCAGAUAUCAGGAAGAACACCUAUGGCGAAGGCAGCUCUCUGGGACGGUACUGACGCUGAGACGCGAAAGCGUGGGGAGCGAACAGG
rnacentral:rRNA from 1 species